rnacentral:lncRNA from 1 species
UGUACUUCUGUGUGACAGUCAGUCAGCGAUUGUGUGUAGACUGGAGGGGGGAGAGCGCACAUGUGCAUGCGUGCGAGUCUGUGCAUGCAUGAGUGCGUAUUCAUUUAUAUAUAUAUGCACACAUUUAUGUCUUUUUAUACGUGCAAAACUAAUAGACAUACAUACAUACGCAUAUAUCUAUGUAUUUGUAUAUAUCUUUUUCUCCCUCUCUUAAUCCCCCGCUUCCCUUCACCCCCGCUGUCUCCAUCACCCCCGCUGUCUCCAGCACCCCCGCUUCUCUUUCUUUAUCAGUACGACGGUCAAACUGGUACAAACCCUUUAUUUAUGAUAACUGCUUAAAAUAGCUUUGUCCGAAUUAAGUAACUGACUCCUUAUCGGAGAUUCCCGCUUUGUCUUUCACACAAAUCGGAACCGGAACACAAAAGAAUGAUGUAUUGAA